GGGAAGUGAAUUUAAAAAUCUGGAGGUUUAAAUGGAAAAAGUGAAGGACACAGAGAGGCAAAAUUCCUCUUAGCCAGAAGGGCCAUAUAAAAUAGCUAGCAGGAAACCGCCGGGGGUUGUGGGAGCCCUACAGGAAGACUCCAGAUGGAAAAGGCCAUCCCAACCCAAGCUAGGAAGACGCUGAAAGAAUCUUUCUCUGAAUCUGUGUUUUCUCAAGAUACUACUUCAUAUGUCUCCUUGGUUCUGUUUCCAAACAUGUAUGGAGUUGAAGUCUAUACUACUUCUUUCCACCUGUUUAUGUCUCUCAUCAUUGAUUUCUGUGAGCACACCUGAAUCCCCUGAAGAUCUGGUCCCCACCACUCUGCUGGAAAUCUUGUCUAAACUAAUGGAUCUUCCACAUCACCAAAACAAUCUUUAGAUUUGGUGGGACAUACAGCAAACUCUGUGCUAGGCUUAUCCUGCUUUAAAUCUUCAGAGUGGUCCAGCCAUUGUACGAGGCUUAUCAACCAGCAUUCUGAAACCACAUUUCUACCUCUGUAGUCAAGAGCUAAAAUACAGUAAUAUUUGAAAAAAAAAUUUCUUUGUUAUGAUAUUUAUGGCACCAUUUUUUUCUUGUCAGAAUCUUUUCAAGCAACUUCUAUAACACUUAACUUCCACUAAAUGUGUCACCAGUUUAAGCCAAAAGGAUGUCAACAGCAAACAUAUUUUAACAUGAACUAUAAUCUAUAUCUCUGUAGAGAUCACUGUUUCUAAGGCAAGACUCUGCCAGAGUGCCAACCUAAGAAAAAGAAAAUCAAAUGUGUCUUAAGAGGAAAACCUAGAAUCCAAAGAAUAACAAACUACAAUCUAAGCAUUUUACACUUUGAUUUCUAAAGUAACUACAGAAUAUGCAUGGGCAAUACUAUUGUUUCCCUUGGGACUAGGUAGAUUCUUUAGAUCUUGAAGGCAAUGAUAUUCUCUGGUCUAAAUUAUUUUAACCUGAAGUAGUCUUUUACAUAAAGAUCAUAAUCACCUAAAAGUCUAAAAUGUUUAAUAAAGGGUCAUCUGGAUGAUUCA
rnacentral:lncRNA from 1 species